rnacentral:miRNA from 1 species
UCACCUGGGGAUCUUGUUAAAAUGCAGCUUCUGAUUCAGUAGGUUUGGAGUGAGCCAAAGAUUCUGCAUUUCUAACAAGCUCCAGGUAACACCA